rnacentral:rRNA from 1 species
UACGUAGGGUGCAAGCGUUGUCCGGAAUUAUUGGGCGUAAAGAGCUCGUAGGCGGUCUGUCGCGUCUGCUGUGAAAACUCAGGGCUUAACCCUGAGCUUGCAGUGGGUACGGGCAGACUAGAGUGCGGUAGGGGAGACUGGAAUUCCUGGUGUAGCGGUGAAAUGCGCAGAUAUCAGGAGGAACACCGGUGGGCGAAGGCGGAUCUCUGGGCCUUACCUGACGCUGGAGGCGACGAAAGCUAGGGGAGCGAACAGG